rnacentral:rRNA from 1 species
ACACGAGGAAACUUGUGCUAAUACCGGAUAAGUCUUUACGGAGAAAGCUUUAUGCACCAUUGGAUGAGCCUGCACUUGAUUAGUUUGUUGGUGGGGUAAUGGCCUACCAAGACUGUGAUCAAUAGCUGAUUUGAGAGGAUGAUCAGCCACAUUGGGACUGAGACACGGCCCAAACUCCUACGGGAGGCAGCAGUGGGGAAUCUUGCACAAUGGAGGAAACUCUGAUGCAGCGAUGCCGCGUGAGUGAAGAAGGCCCUUGGGUUGUAAAGCUCUUUCGUCGGGGAAGAAAAUGACUGUACCCGAAUAAGAAGGUCCGGCUAACUUCGUGCCAGCAGCCGCGGUAAUACGAAGGGACCUAGCGUAGUUCGGAAUUACUGGGCUUAAGGAGUUCGUAGGUGAUUGAAAAAGUUGGUGGUGAAAUCCCAGAGCUUAACUCUGGAACUGCCAUCAAAACUUUUCAGCUAGAGUAUGAUAGAGGAAAGCAGAAUUUCUAGUGUAGAGGUGAAAUUCGUAGAUAUUAGAAAGAAUACCAAUUGCGAAGGCAGCUUUCUGGAUCAUUACUGACACUGAGGAACGAAAGCAUGGGUAGCGAAGAGGAUUAGAUACCCUCGUAGUCCAUGCCGUAAACGAUGUGUGUUAGACGUUGGAAAUUUAUUUUCAGUGUCGCAGCGAAAGCGAUAAACACACCGCCUGGGA